rnacentral:rRNA from 1 species
UGUGGUUUAAUUCGAAGCAACGCGAAGAACCUUACCAGGUCUUGACAUACUCAAACUAUUCCUAGAGAUAGGAAGUUCCUUCGGGACACGGGAUACAGGUGGUGCAUGGUUGUCGUCAGCUCGUGUCGUGAGAUGUUGGGUUAAGUCCCGCAACGAGCGCAACCCCUUUUGUUAGUUGCCAUCAUUAAGUUGGGCACUCUAACGAGACUGCCGGUGAUAAACCGGAGGAAGGUGGGGAUGACGUCAAAUCAUCAUGCCCCUUAUGACCUGGGCUACACACGUGCUACAAUGGAUGGUACAACGAGUCGCGAGACAGUGAUGUUUAGCUAAUCUCUUAAAACCAUUCUCAGUUCGGAUUGGAAGCUGCAACUCGCCUACAUGAAGUCGGAAUCGCUAGUAAUCGCGGAUCAGCACGCCGCGGUGAAUACGUUCCCGGGCCUUGUACACACCGCCCGUCACACCACGGGAGUUGGGUUGCCCCGAAGUAGGUUGCCUAACCGCAAGGAGGGCGCUUCCUAAGGUAAGACCGAUGACUGGGGUGAAGUCGUAACAAGGGUACCCGUAUCGGAARGUGCGGCUGGA